GGGACUUGAAAGAAAAAAAUGCCACAAACAAAAAAAAGACACUUCUCCUUCUUAGAUCAAACAUUCUCUAUCAGUCCAAACGUUUGCUCAGCACAGUGUAGAGAGGAGGGGAAGCACUAAGCAGCUAUCCUUGAUUGCCUUUAUCACUGUUUGACCUGUAGCGUGACUGAGCCACCUCAGGGGUGUCACUACUCAGCUAGAAGAAAGAUGUGGCCAGUAGAGCCUCCCUCUGACCACCACUUCUUCUCAGUGUGUCCCAGCAGAGCUUACUGCCAGCAUGAUGUGUUUGGGAAUAGUGAUGUGCAGCCCCUCAUGUCAACUGCUCCCUUCCUUUGCACUGCUGAAUGACAGAACCUGUCCAGAGUAGAGGCCUGCCUAUAAAUCUAGAUAGAAGGGGUCCCUGUGGCUACCACAGAAUUUGUCUGUUUGUCCUGGGCUAGUCUUGAAGGUUGGGAUGUCUCCUGAUUCCCCAAACCUUACAUUCAUUUUGUUGCAUGCGGAUUAAAUUCAGCCUGAGACAAAGAGAAAUCCCAUCUGCCCUGGGAUGCAGAUGAUGCUGUCACCUUCUAGAAAAGACCUCUGCCAAUCUUGUCUGGCCAGCAUCAAUUGCACAGCACCAUCCCACAGGCAGAUGGGGCAGAAGGAAGCACAGAGUUUUGCAGAAAGAGCUCUGGGCCCCACAUAUGCUGUAGGAGUGCUGAAAAGUGUAGAGAGCACACCAAGUUCUCCCCUUUGGGACGUGCCAGGCGGCUCACCCCAGAGCUGGCUCAGGCUGCUGCAGCAACAGAAGAACAGCAGAGCUGGCUUUGAGCCUGGCUUGGGGUUUAUUCCUACACAGAUGCAGCCACUGUCCUUAUUUGCCACUUCCCGUGCAGGACUGUGUCAUCCAUUAAGGAGGCAUACGGAAGAGGAAAAGAAUCCCUGGAGUGGGAAAAGGAGGGACUGCAGGGAGCGUGGCUGUGUGCAUAAGCCUUUCUGUGAAAAGCAGUAAUAAAGCUCAAACCUUUGCCACGCUGAAUUCUUUGGCAGCUUCUUAAAAGUGCCUGGAAAUCACUGCAAAAGCUUCCAUAAUCAGAAAAUGACUGAUACACAGUGGGUGUCGAUAGAAGUGUUUGAAAAUAAAGUAUAAGUUUGCUAUAAAAUGGGUUUACUA
ensembl:lncRNA